AGGGUUUGACAUGCAAGUGGUAGAAGCGAAGGUGACGACCUUCGGGAGCUUGCACAGGUGCUGCAUGGCUGUCGUCAGCUCGUGUCGUGAGAUGUUCGGUUAAGUCCGCUAACGAGCGCAACCCUCACUGUGUGUUAUACGUGUCACACGGGACUGCCGGUUUUAAGCCGGAGGAAGGCGAGAUGACGUCAAGUCAGCAUGGCCUUUAUGUCCAGGGCUACACACGUGCUACAAUGGCCGGUACAGACGGACGCAAAGCCGCGAGGUGGAGCAAAUCCUAAAAGCCGGUCUCAGUUCAGAUUGCAGUCUGCAACUCGACUGCAUGAAGCCGGAGUUGCUAGUAACCGCAGGUCAGCAAUACUGCGGUGAAUACGUUCCCGGGUCUU
rnacentral:rRNA from 1 species